GGGCUCACCUUGGCAGCACAUAUACUAAAAUUGGAAAGAUACAGAGACGAUUAGCAUGGCCCCUGGGCAAAGAUGACACACAAAUUUGUGAAGCAUUCUAUAUAUUU
rnacentral:snRNA from 1 species